UUGUACAUAUUUGUGAUACAGGGAGGA
rnacentral:piRNA from 1 species